UUCGCCUGUUUAUCAAAAACAUGGCUGUGUGAAUUUAAAUGCAGAGUCUGGCCUGCCCAAUGAAUAAAUUUGAAUGGCCGCGGUAAUUUGACCGUGCGAAGGUAGCAUAAUCAGUAGUCUUUUAAUUGAAGGCUGGAAUGAAUGGUCGGACAAGAGAUAAGUUGUCUCUUUUAUAAAUUUUGAAUUUUACUUUUAAGUGAAAAGGCUUAAAUAAUCUGAUGGGACGAUAAGACCCUAUAAAACUUUACGAGGUAAGUAUAUUUUUUUAAUUGAGAAGUCUAAAAAGUAUUUUUACUUUUCUUGUUCUGUUGGGGCGACAAAAAUAUAAAUUUAGUUUUGUAACUGUUUAUUAAAAAAGAAUAGUGAUAGUUAGUUUAUGAUCCUUUAUUAUCGAUUAUAAGAUUAAGUUACUUUAGGGAUAACAGCGUAAUUUUUUUUGAGAGUUCUUAUCGACAAAAUUAGUUGCGACCUCGAUGUUGAAUUAAAAUUUCCUUUUUGUGUAGAAGCAAAAAGGGUAGGUCUGUUCGACCUUUAAAAUUUUACAUGAUUUGAGUUCAAACCGGUGUGAGCCAGGUGGGUUUCUAUCUA
rnacentral:rRNA from 1 species